AUCGAACGCUGGCGGCAGGCCUAACACAUGCAAGUCGAGCGAGCGGCGGAUGGGUGAGUAAUGUAUGGGGACUGCCCGAUAGAGGGGGAUAACUACUGGAAACGGUGGCUAAUAUCGCAUACUAUCGGAUAACCCAUAUGGGAUUAGCUAGUAGGUGGUGUAAAGGCUCACCUAGGCGACGAUCUCUAGCUGGUCUGAAAGGAGGAUCGGCGACACGGGGACUGGAACACGGCCCAGAGUCCUACGGAGGCAGCAGUGGAGAAUGUUGCGCAAUGGGGGCGAGCAUGGUGCAGCCGUGCCACGUGUAUGAAGAAGGCCUUAGGGGUGUAAAGUACGUUCAGCGGGGAGGCGUUACCCGCAGAAGAAGCACCGGCUAACUCCGUGCCAGCAGCCGCGGUAAUUC
rnacentral:rRNA from 1 species